UGCCUGUCCCAAGUCAGGAGCCUGUAAUUAAGUGGUUGUCGUUUGUUGCUGUGUUACAUAUUUGUUUUUCGUUCAUUUAUUUGUACAUUAAUUUGGCCGUUAGUUUUCUCGUUUGAAUUGUUUUACAUUUGUUAUUUCGGGGCCUUUUAUAGCUGACUAUGCGGUAUGGGCUUUGCUCAUUGUUGAAGGCCGUACGGUGACCUAUAGUUGUUCAUUUCUGUGUCAUUUAAUUUGGUCUCUUGUUUAGAGUUGUCUCAUUGGCAAUUACACCAAAU
rnacentral:lncRNA from 1 species